AUUGAACGCUGGCGGCAUGCUUUACACAUGCAAAUCGAACGGCAGCGCGGGGCAACCUGGCGGCGAGUGGCGAACGGGUGAGUAAUAUAUCGGAACGUACCCAGAAGUGGGGGAUAACGUAGCGAAAGUUACGCUAAUACCGCAUACGAUCUACGGAUGAGAUGCGGGGACCGCAAGGCCUUAUGCUUUUGGAGCGGCCGAUAUCUGAUUAGCUAGUUGGUGAGGGAAAGGCUCACCAAGGCGACGAUCAGUAGCUGGUCUGAGAGGACGACCAGCCACACUGGAACUGAGACACGGUCCAGACUCCUAAGGGAGGCAGCAGUGGGGAAUUUUGGACAAUGGGCGCAAGCCUGAUCCAGCAAUGCCGCGUGAGUGAAGAAGGCCUUCGGGUUGUAAAGCUCUUUUGUCAGGGAAGAAACGGUAGAGGCUAAUAUCCUGUGCUAAUGACGGUACCUGAAGAAUAAGCACCGGCUAACUACGUG
rnacentral:rRNA from 1 species